GCAUGCGGGCAGCUUCAGACAUGCAAGUCGAACGAGAUCUUCGGAUCUAGUGGCGCACGGGUGAGUAACGCGUGGGAACCUACCUUUCAGUUCGGGAUAACAGUUGGAAACGACUGCUAAUACCGUAUACGCCCUCCGGGGGAAAGGUCAGCCGCUGAAAGAGGGGCCCGCGUCUGAUUAGCUUGUUGGUAGGGUAAAAGCCUACCAAGGCUACGAUCAGUAGCUGGUCUGAGAGGAUGAUCAGCCACACUGGGACUGAGACACGGCCCAGACUCCUACGGGAGGCAGCAGUCGGGAAUAUUGGACAAUGGAGGAAACUCUGAUCCAGCAAUGCCGCGUGUGUGAUGAAGGCCCUAGGGUUGUAAAGCACUUUCAACGGUGAAGAUGAUGACGGUAGCCGUAGAAGAAGCCCCGGCUAACUUCGUGCCAGCAGCCGCGGUAAUACGAAGGGGGCGAGCGUUGUUCGGAAUUAUUGGGCGUAAAGGGCGCGCAGGCGGUUUGGAUAGUUAGACGUGAAAGCCCUGGGCUUAACCUAGGAACUGCGUUUAAUACUGCCAAACUAGAGAACUAGAGAGGAUAGCGGAACUCCCAGUGUAGAGGUGAAAUUCGUAGAUAUUGGGAAGAACAUCAGUGGCGAAAGCGGCUGUCUGGCUAGUUUCUGACGCUGAGGCGCGAAAGCGUGGGGGAGCAAACAGGAUUAGAUACCCUGGUAGUCCACGCCGUAAACGAUGUGUGCUAGAUGUUGGGAAGGGUUAC
rnacentral:rRNA from 1 species